rnacentral:rRNA from 1 species
AACGCGAAGAACCUUACCAAAUCUUGACAUCCUUCUGACCGACUCGUAAUGGAGUCUUUCCUACGGGACAGAAGAGACAGGUGGUGCAUGGUUGUCGUCAGCUCGUGUCGUGAGAUGUUGGGUUAAGUCCCGCAACGAGCGCAACCCUUAUCCUUAGUAGCCAGCAGUUCGGCUGGGCACUCUGGGGAGACUGCCAGGGAUAACCUGGAGGAAGGUGGGGAUGACGUCAAAUCAUCAUGCCCCUUAUGAUUUGGGCUACACACGUGCUACAAUGGCGUAAACAGAGGGAAGCGAAGCCGUGAGGUGGAGCAAGUCCCAAAAAUAACGUCUCAGUUCGGAUUGUAGUCUGCAACUCGACUACAUGAAGCUGGAAUCGCUAGUAAUCGCGAAUCAGAAUGUCGCGGUGAAUACGUUCCCGGGUCUUGUACACACCG